rnacentral:rRNA from 1 species
CCUACGGGAGACUGCAGUAGGGAAUAUUGCUCAAUGGGGGAAACCCUGAAGCAGCAACGCCGCGUGGGGGAUGAAGGUUUUCUGAUUGGAAACUCCUUUUGUUAGGGAAGUUAAUUACGGUAUCUGACGAGUAUUCACUGGCUAACUCCGUUCCAGCAGCCGCGGUAAUGCGGAGGGUGCAGGCGUUACUCGGAAUCACUGGGCGUAAAGGGCGCGUAGGCGGGUUAGCAAGUCAGAUGUGAAAUCCUAUGGCUUAACCAUAGAAUUGCAUUUGAAACUGUUAUGCUAGAGUAUGGGAGAGGUAGGUGGAAUUCUUGGUGUAGGGGUAAAAUCCGUAGAGAUCAAGAGGAAUACUGAUUGCGAAGGCGACCUGCUAGAACAUAACUGACGCUGAUGCGCGAAAGCGUGGGGAGCAAACAGGAUUAGAUACCCGGGUAGUC